GCCGAAAUAGCUCUGUUGCGAGAGCGUCAAGCUAUAGAUCGAAAGGUCCCUGGUUCGAUCCCGAGAUUCGGGA
rnacentral:tRNA from 1 species